rnacentral:misc_RNA from 1 species
GAUGAAGAACGUAGCGAAAUGCGAUAAGUAAUGUGAAUUGCAGAAUUCAGUGAAUCAUCGAAUCUUUGAACGCACAUUGCGCCCGCCAGUAUUCUGGCGGGCAUGCCUGUUCGAGCGUCAUUACAACCCUCAGGCCCCCGGGCCUGGCGUUGGGGAUCGGCAGAAGCCCCCUGUGGGCACACGCCGUCCCUCAAAUACAGUGGCGGUCCCGCCGCAGCUUCCAUUGCGUAGUAGCUAACACCUCGCAACUGGAGAGCGGCGCGGCCAUGCCGUAAAACACCCAACUUCUGAAUGUUGACCUCGAAUCAGGUAGGAAUACCCGCUGAACUUAAGCAUAUUAAUAAGCGGAGGA